rnacentral:rRNA from 1 species
GAUGAACGCUGGCGGCGUGCCUAAUACAUGCAAGUCGAGCGAACAGACGAGGAGCUUGCUCCUCUGACGUUAGCGGCGGACGGGUGAGUAACACGUGGAUAACCUACCUAUAAGACUGGGAUAACUUCGGGAAACCGGAGCUAAUACCGGAUAAUAUAUUGAACCGCAUGGUUCAAUAGUGAAAGACGGUUUUGCUGUCACUUAUAGAUGGAUCCGCGCCGCAUUAGCUAGUUGGUAAGGUAACGGCUUACCAAGGCAACGAUGCGUAGCCGACCUGAGAGGGUGAUCGGCCACACUGGAACUGAGACACGGUCCAGACUCCUACGGGAGGCAGCAGUAGGGAAUCUUCCGCAAUGGGCGAAAGCCUGACGGAGCAACGCCGCGUGAGUGAUGAAGGUCUUCGGAUCGUAAAACUCUGUUAUUAGGGAAGAACAAAUGUGUAAGUAACUAUGCACGUCUUGACGGUACCUAAUCAGAAAGCCACGGCCAACUACGU